AUGGCGACCGGCGCACGGGUGCGUAACGCGUAUGCAACCUACCUUUUACAGGGGCAUAACACUGAGAAAUUGGUACUAAUUCCCCAUAAUAUCUGAGACGGCAUGGUUUUGGGUCGAAAACUCCGGUGGUAAAAGAUGGGCAUGCGUUGUAUUAGCUAGUUGGUGAGGUAACGGCUCACCAAGGCGACGAUACAUAGGGGGACUGAGAGGUUAACCCCCCACAUUGGUACUGAGACACGGACCAAACUCCUACGGAAGGCAGCAG
rnacentral:rRNA from 1 species